AGUCGAACGGUAAGGCUCUUCGGAGUACACGAGUGGCGAACGGGUGAGUAACACGUGAGCAACCUACCCUUGACACUGGAAUAAGCGCUCGAAAGGGCGUCUAAUACCGGAUAUUACUUCUUCAGACAUCUGAUGAAGUGGAAAGCUCCGGCGGUCAAGGAUGGGCUCGCGGCCUAUCAGCUAGUUGGUGAGGUAACGGCUCACCAAGGCUUCGACGGGUAGCCGGCCUGAGAGGGCGACCGGCCACACUGGGACUGAGAUACGGCCCAGACUCCUACGGGAGGCAGCAGUGGGGAAUAUUGCACAAUGGGCGCAAGCCUGAUGCAGCAACGCCGCGUGCGGGAUGACGGCCUUCGGGUUGUAAACCGCUUUCAGCACCGACGAAGCGAAAGUGACGGUAGGUGCAGAAGAAGGACCGGCCAACUACGUGCCAGCAGCCGCGGUGAUACGUAGGGUCCGAGCGUUGUCCGGAAUUAUUGGGCGUAAAGAGCUCGUAGGCGGUUUGUCGCGUCGGAAGUGAAAACUCAGGGCUUAACUCUGAGCCUGCUUCCGAUACGGGCAGACUAGAGGAAGUUAGGGGAGAACGGAAUUCCUGGUGGAGCGGUGGAAUGCGCAGAUAUCAGGAGGAACACCGGUGGCGAAGGCGGUUCUCUGGGACUUUCCUGACGCUGAGGAGCGAAAGCGUGGGGAGCAAACAGGCUUAGAUACCCUGGUAGUCCACGCCGUAAACGGUGGGCACUAGGUGUGGGUCACAUUCCACGUGAUCCGUGCCGUAGCUAACGCAUUAAGUGCCCCCGCCUGGGGAGUACGGCCGCAACGCUAAAACUCAAAGGAAUUGACGGGGGCCCGCACAAGCGGCGGAGCAUGCGGAUUAAUUCUAUGCAACGCGGAGAACCUUACCUGGGUUUGACAUAUACCGGAAACAUCUCGAGACAGUGCCCCGCACGGUCGGUAUACAGGUGGUGCAUGGCUGUCGUCAGCUCGUGUCGUGAGAUGUUGGGUGUAAGUCCCGCAACGAGC
rnacentral:rRNA from 1 species